rnacentral:rRNA from 1 species
GACGAACGCUGGCGGCGUGCUUUAGACAUGCAAGUCGAACGAGAUCUUCGGAUCUAGUGGCGAACGGCGGAGUAAUACAUAAACAACGUGCCCUGAAGACUGGGAUAUGCGGUCGAAAGGCCGAGCAAUACCGGAUGUGGCCGAGACUAGGCAUCUAGACUCGAUUAAAUGGUUUUUCGCUUCAGGAGCGGUUUAUGACUCAUCAGCUAGUUGGUAGGGUAAUGGCCUACCAAGGCUACGACGGGUAGGGGGUCUGAGAGGAUGAUCCCCCCGAGUGGGACUGAGACACGGCCCACACACCUACGGGUGGCAGCAGUUUGGAAUCUUGCCCAAUGGGGGAAACCCUGAGGCAGCGACGCCGCGUGGAGGAUGAAGGAUUUAGGUCUGUAAACUCCUUUUGCCAGGAAAGACUUAGGACGGUACCCGGCGAAUAAGCUCCGGCUAACUACGUGCCAGCAGCCGCGGUAAU